AUGCCCCUGCUCGUUGUGGACUCGUGGACCUAUGAAUCCACAAGUCAACAUGUAGUGCCGGAGCAUGGGCUGCAUCGGCAAGGUCGACAAGGCCAUCAGGCCAUGGCCUUCGUGAGAACCUUCACAGAGGUGGAAAUGGCGGUGGGAGAUGUCGGCACUGGAGUCGUGGCCGUGGCGGGGAAGAUGAAGCGGGCGGAGCUAUGCCAGUGGCUCAAGAGGAAGACAAGGAAGGAUGUGAAGAUUUUUUGUCCUCGUCCACCGGCUGAGAAUCUUGUUAAGCAGGUAUGCAUCCCUCUUGUCUACUUGUACUGCAGAAUGAAGGCAAUGUGUGUAAUAUCCAAAUUAAUGUACGUUUACUUUGCUAUCCUCUGCAAAUGGCGAGAAGAAUCGUGUCUACUCUGUUCUUGCCAGAAUGAUGAUACAAACACCAAUUAUAUGAACCUACAGAUGAAUCUACAGGUCCAAGGAGUACCUGUCCCGAUAGCCUACCUAGCCAUUGUUGCUUUGUUCCAUUUUCUCAUGGACAAGAUGGAUAUGUAA
rnacentral:rRNA from 1 species